GGUCCACAUGCUUGGAUAAUCCUGUGAAGAAAUAGCUAGACAAUCAAGUGUUGUAGUUUUGCUGCAUAUUGCUAUAGCUGCAAAAGACAACUUAUUGUUUGUAAGGCUUUUUUCUGGAUUAAAGAUGUCACCUAGACAAGUUUUGAUUCUAUUUAUCCUUGUAAUUUAUUGCAAUAUUUCACAGGAGUAUGCUUUAAAGAGAAAACCAGUUAAAUUCGCUACACUGACACCUUUAGAAAAUCGUUCAGGAGUAUAUGACCAGUUGUGCAGUUUCUACAGGCAGACGUGUAACUGCGCAAAGGUUCGACAAUUUUGUGUUGAUCCAUCUUGCUGCAACCAACCACUAUUUACUGAAAUGAGAACAAAUGGUCAGACGAGAGAUUCAGAGGAGGAUGACGACUGAAUGACUCUGUAGGUUAUAAUAAAGUCCAUAAAACCUGUUUGUUGUACUGGACUACGUUCGUCAAUCACCUGUUUUUGUACUGGACAUGCAUUCGUCAAUCACCUGUUUUAUGUAGCAAAUGUGUAGUGGACAUAUAUUAUUUAGUCGCCUGCUCUAUGAAGUUGACAUAUACAAUACACUGACUAUACAUAGAUUAAUAAACCAGAAAAUUUAUAGUCGUAAAUAGAAUAACUAUGUUUACUAUUGGAAUGACACAUUUUCCCUUUAUUUUAAUA